rnacentral:rRNA from 1 species
GUACUACUCUCAGAGUUUGAUCCUGGCUCAGGAUGAACGCUAGCGGCAGGCUUAACACAUGCAAGUCAGGGGCAGCAUGAAGGUUAGCAAUAACUUUUGAUGGCGACCGGCGCAAGGGUGCGUAACGCGUGAGCAACUUGCCCGUUUCUGGGGAAUAACCGGUGGAAACGCCGAUUAAUACCCCAUAGUAUCUUUUUCAGGCAUCUGUUAAAGAUUAAAGAACUUCGGAAACGGAUAGGCUCGCGUGACAUUAGCUAGAUGGCGGGGUAACGGCCCACCAUGGCGACGAUGUCUAGGGGUUCUGAGAGGAAGGUCCCCCACACUGGAACUGAGACACGGUCCAG